GUUGUCAUUGUAUUUAUUUCAUAGUCCAUAUCAAGGAAUGGCUAAUUGACUACUUUCAUUUGUUGUGCGAAGAAUCGUGUGCCAUGGAACCAGGAUUCACAAAAAAUUCGACUUGUUGAUGUUGGGAGAGCUUAUGGCAUCAAACAAAGACUUGUUCGGCAGAAUUUAGAGAUGUAAAAACUUCAUUGUGAAUAUAUAAUAAUAUUUCGAAAACAAAUAAUGAAAAUAAGUUGAAAGAUUUUGAAAGAUA